rnacentral:other from 1 species
AUGAACCUACGAUGCUCGUCAGCUCAUGAUGUCUUAAACCUAUAAUGUUUUAAAGGGAAUUUAAUAAUCGUUUCUAGACAAUAAGCCCUCCACUACGAAGGGACAUUGAAAGGUUACGUGAAAAUGCCCACCUGCGAGAGCGGGUUUUAAGACACUUCGAGUAACGACAAAGUGGGAUUCAA